rnacentral:rRNA from 1 species
AUCAGUGAAAACGAGUAGGGCGGGACACGUGAUAUCCUGUCUGAAUAUGGGGGGACCAUCCUCCAAGGCUAAAUACUACUGACUGACCGAUAGUGAACCAGUACCGUGAGGGAAAGGCGAAAAGAACCCCUGUGAGGGGAGUGAAAUAGAACCUGAAACCGUGUACGUACAAGCAGUAGGAGCACCUUCGUGGUGUGACUGCGUACCUUUUGUAUAAUGGGUCAGCGACUUAAUUUUAGUAGCAAGGUUAACCGUUUAGGGGAGCCGUAGGGAAACCGAGUCUUAACUGGGCGUACAGUUGCUAGGAUUAGACCCGAAACCAGGUGAUCUAGCCAUGGGCAGGUUGAAGGUUGAGUAACAUCAACUGGAGGACCGAACCGACUAAUGUUGAAAAAUUAGCGGAUGACUUGUGGCUAGGGGUGAAAGGCCAAUCAAACCUGGAGAUAGCUGGUUCUCCCCGAAAGCUAUUUAGGUAGCGCCUCGGACGAAUACUACUGGGGGUAGAGCACUGUUAAGGCUAGGGGGUCAUCCCGACUUACCAACCCUUUGCAAACUCCGAAUACCAGUAAGUACUAUCCGGGAGACACACGGCGGGUGCUAACGUCCGUCGUGGAGAGGGAAACAACCCAGACCGCCAGCUAAGGUCCCAAAGUAUAGCUAAGUGGGAAACGAUGUGGGAAGGCUCAGACAGCCAGGAUGUUGGCUUAGAAGCAGCCAUCAUUUAAAGAAAGCGUAAUAGCUCACUGGUCGAGUCGGCCUGCGCGGAAGAUGUAACGGGGCUAAGCUAUACACCGAAGCUGCGGCUACGUACCUUAGGGUAUGUGGGGUAGGGGAGCGUUCUGUAAGCCGUUGAAGGUGGUCUGUAAGGGCUGCUGGAGGUAUCAGAAGUGCGAAUGCUGACAUGAGUAACGAUAAAGGGAGUGAAAAACUCCCUCGCCGGAAGACCAAGGGUUCCUGUCCAACGUUAAUCGGGGCAGGGUAAGUCGACUCCUAAGGCGAGGCCGAAAGGCGUAGUCGAUGGGAAACGGGUUAAUAUUCCCGUACUUCUUACAAUUGCGAUGGGGGGACGGAGAAGGCUAGGUGGGCCUGGCGACGGUUGUCCAGGUUCAAGUACGUAGGCGGGUGGUUUAGGUAAAUCCGGACCGCUACUAACGCUGAGAUACGAUG